ensembl:lncRNA
UGCGCGUAGUUUCACCAAAUAAGCCUUCACUGUCUCAUAAUUAUUACUCAGAGGUUUGAUGGACUCACAUGGACUUUGUUGCAUUCUAACACACCAAUAAGAAGCUCAUUUUAAAUUGUCAAUAAAUACAAAUACAAAAUUUUGCAUUGUAGGAUACAAAAAAAAAAAAAAACCUUUUGCAAAAGAAUACAAAAGAGACAAAGGUUGCUAGGCAACCUUCCAGCACAAGCUUUAGCUUUCAAGGUAACAAAGAGACUACUGUACUUCCAUCACCUGAAGGUUCUUGCUCAAAUCAACAAAAGGAAACUGACAGGGAGGAGUUGAAACAUGACUCAGAACCACCGCCACUCUCCAAAAUCAUAGUUGAGCAUGCUUACCAAUUUUAAUAUGUCGAUUUACAAAUCAGGAAAAUAAACAUUAUUUGGAUCGUACCCAACUUUUAAAAUUCGACUGGCAUUCGCUGCAUGACUCCGGGCCUCAACUUCUGUGCACUCUCAAGCUUAUCUUUAGGCAGGGUCAAUAGGCGUGAAAACACCUCUGAGGGGAACUUGCCUUUGGUGACUUCAACCUGGUCUAUUCUCUUCAGUGUCCCGGAGACUCCCGAACAUAGAAUAUCUGAGGUGUUUGUUUUCUCCAUUAUCAUUUAUAUACUACAUCAUGGACCAAUGAUACUGGCACAUUCUUUUCCUGUUACAUAAAUUACUGGGCAGUAAAAAUAUUCACACAGCUCUCUUGAGAGACAAAUCUGAAUCAUAAAAUCAAGUUUUCUCCAAGAUUCUACCUCAAGUGCAAUAUGAAUUUGUGAAAAAUGCACCCCACUAGAAGUCAGGUAACAAAAAUGUGGGCACUAAGCUUAACCUCUGAAAUCCUCAGUUUCCCCUUAUGGAAUGUGAGUAUUGAGAUAUGUCUAUUUCUGCCUCAUGAGGGAGCUGCAGAGCUUAAAUAAGCUCAUAUGCAUGAAAGUCCUUUAGGUCCCUUGGGACUAAGGGGAUAACAAUGAGAAUUCAUAGUCAUAUAUUUUAAGGUAAAUCCAAGAAGGCCUUUAUAAACUUUAAUUAGUUUCCCUAAACCCCUGUGGAUAGGUCUCUCUUGCCCAUUUCACAAGCUAGAAUUCAGACACUGGCAAGUUAUAUGGUUUGCCCUGAUGAUAUCACCCCCAGGAAUUAGAACAAAGAGCUCCUCGCACCCACUGCUGUGAGGAAGCAACACGGAAGCAUCCAUGGGCCUUAUGAGCACAUUCAUGGUACAGGAGCUUAAAUGUAUGGCUGAGCUUUGUGACUCUGCUGCAGGGUGCCAGAAAGAUUCUUUUUAAUUUUUAUUUUUUACAGGCUGGGGAUUUUCAUUUGGGAAAAAAGGGGAGAGAGAACACUGAACAGCAGGAUCGAAAUCAUAAUCCCUGUUUUUAAUGGAAAUGUGAACUCAAGAUUUUACCUUUGCUUGCCCCAGCUUGAAGUCGUGCCCCGGGGAAAGUCUGCCCUCCUUCCAACCAGCUGGCACAGUGAGCUUUGUUUCAAGCAGCUCAACUCAAACAUGUUCCCCUUUUUAGGUUCUCCCUAAUAAAGCAUUAUGUAAAAGAUGCUGAUACUGGAAU